GACGAACGCUGGCGGCAUGCCUAACACAUGUAAGUCGAACGGAGUUUCUUAAAUGGAUUUCUUCGGAAUGAAGCUUUUGAAACUUAGUGGCGGACGGGUGAGUAACGCGUGGGUAACCUGCCCUUUUGUGGGGAACAACUUCGAGAAAUCGGAGCUAAUACCGCAUAUACUUACGGGAUCGCAUGAUUCUGUAAGGAAAGAUGGCCUCUGAAAAUGCUAUCGCAAAAGGAUGGGCCCGCGUCUGAUUAGCUAGUUGGUGAGGUAACGGCUCACCAAGGCGACGAUCAGUAGCCGGCCUGAGAGGGUGAACGGCCACAUUGGGACUGAGACACGGCCCAA
rnacentral:rRNA from 1 species